GACGAACGCUGGCGGCGUGCUUAACACAUGCAAGUCGAACGGAAAGGCCCCCACCUUGGUGGGGGUGCUCGAGUGGCGAACGGGUGAGUAACACGUGGGUGAUCUGCCCUGUACUUCGGGAUAAGCUUGGGAAACUGGGUCUAAUACCGGAUAGGACCAUGGUUUAGUGUCUCAUGGUGGAAAAAUUAUUGUUUUGGUGCAGGAUGAGCUCGCGGCCUCUCAGCUUGUUGGUGGGGUAAUGGCCUACCAAGGCGUCGACGGGUAGCCGGCCUGCGAGGGUGGACGGCCACAUUGGGACUGAGAUACGGCCCAGACUCCUACGGGAGGCAGCAGUGGGGAAUAUUGCACAAUGGGCGCAAGCCUGAUGCAGCGACGCCGCGUGGGGGAUGACGGCCUUCGGGUUGUAAACUCCUUUCGUUAGGGACGAAGCCACACCUUUUUGGGGUGUGGUGACGGUACCUUUGUUAAGAAGCACCGGCUAACUACGUG
rnacentral:rRNA from 1 species